UACGUAGGUGGCAAGCGUUGUUCGGAAUUAUUGGGCGUAAAGGGCGCGUAGGCGGUGCGGUAAGUCACCUGUGAAAUCUCCGGGCUCAACUCGGAGCCUGCAGGCGAAACUGCCGCGCUAGAGGGUGGGAGAGGUGCGUGGAAUUCCCGGUGUAGCGGUGAAAUGCGUAGAUAUCGGGAGGAACAACUGUGGCGAAAGCGGCGCACUGGACCACAUCUGACGCUGAGGCGCGAAAGCGAGGGGAGCAAACAGG
rnacentral:rRNA from 1 species